rnacentral:misc_RNA from 1 species
GCAAACUUGGUCAUUUAGAGGAAGUAAAAGUCGUAACAAGGUUUCCGUAGGUGAACCUGCGGAAGGAUCAUUAAAAAAACUGCCUAAGACAUUCGUGUCCCAAGGCCCCACACUGUGUGCACCGUUUAAUCGUUCUUUGGCAGGGUCUUUGGGUUUUUUCUCUUUGGAGCUUUGACCCAACUUCUCUUAGACUCUAUCCCUUUGGGGACAGUCGAACAUGGGAAGCAGUUGCCCUGCCAAGUAACUCUUUAAAUACGCAUUUUUGUCUGAAAAAAUAUCGUUUUUUUAUUGCAUAAUAAAAACAUAACUUUCAACAACGGAUCUCUUGGCUCUCGCAUCGAUGAAGAACGCAGC